CGGGGUAUGGCUCAGUUUGGUAGAGCACUUGGUUUGGGACCAAGGGGCCGCAGGUUCGAAUCCUGUUACCCCGA
rnacentral:tRNA from 1 species